rnacentral:rRNA from 1 species
GACGAACGCUGGCGGCGUGCCUAAUACAUGCAAGUAGGACGCACAGUUUAUACCGUAGCUUGCUACACCAUAGACUGUGAGUUGCGAACGGGUGAGUAACGCGUAGGUAACCUGCCUAUUAGAGGGGGAUAACUAUUGGAAACGAUAGCUAAUACCGCAUAACAGUAUGUAACACAUGUUAGAUGCUUGAAAGAUGCAAUUGCAUCGCUAGUAGAUGGACCUGCGUUGUAUUAGCUAGUAGGUAGGGUAAAGGCCUACCUAGGCAACGAUACAUAGCCGACCUGAGAGGGUGAUCGGCCACACUGGGACUGAGACACGGCCCAGACUCCUACGGGAGGCAGCAGUAGGGAAUCUUCGGCAAUGGGGGGAACCCUGACCGAGCAACGCCGCGUGAGUGAAGAAGGUUUUCGGAUC